GAUGAACGCUGGCGGCGUGCCUAAUACAUGCAAGUCGAGCGAACAGACGAGGAGCUUGCUCCUCUGACGUUAGCGGCGGACGGGUGAGUAACACGUGGAUAACCUACCUAUAAGACUGGGAUAACUUCGGGAAACCGGAGCUAAUACCGGAUAACAUGUUGAACCGCAUGGUUCAACAGUGAAAGACGGCCUUGCUGUCACUUAUAGAUGGAUCCGCGCCGCAUUAGCUAGUUGGUAAGGUAACGGCUUCCAAGGCAACGAUGCGUAGCCGACCUGAGAGGGUGAUCGGCCACACUGGAACUGAGACACGGUCCAGACUCCUACGGGAGGCAGCAGUAGGGAAUCUUCCGCAAUGGGCGAAAGCCUGACGGAGCAACGCCGCGUGAGUGAAGAAGGUCUUCGGAUCGUAAAACUCUGUUAUUAGGGAAGAACAAAUGUGUAAGUAACUAUGCACGUCCUGACGGUACCUAAUCAGAAAGCCACGGCUAACUACGUG
rnacentral:rRNA from 1 species